GGUCAAGUGAAGAAGCGCAUACGGUGGAUGCCUUGGCAGUCAGAGGCGAUGAAAGACGUGGUAGCCUGCGAAAAGCUUCGGGGAGUCGGCAAACAGACUGUGAUCCGGAGAUGUCUGAAUGGGGGAACCCAGCCAUCACAAGAUGGUUAUCUUACACUGAAUACAUAGGUGUAAGAGGCGAACCAGGGGAACUGAAACAUCUAAGUACCCUGAGGAAAAGAAAUCAACCGAGAUUCCCUUAGUAGUGGCGAGCGAACGGGGACCAGCCCUUAAGUUGUAUUGAGAUUAGCGGAACGCUCUGGAAAGUGCGGCCAUAGUGGGUGAUAGCCCUGUACGCGAAAAUCCCUUUGCAAUGAAAUCGAGUAGGACGGGGCACGAGAAACCUUGUCUGAAUAUGGGGGGACCAUCCUCCAAGGCUAAAUACUACUGACUGACCGAUAGUGAACCAGUACCGUGAGGGAAAGGCGAAAAGAACCGCGGAGAGCGGAGUGAAAUAGAUCCUGAAACCGUAUGCGUACAAGCAGUGGGAGCCCACUUUGUUGGGUGACUGCGUACCUUUUGUAUAAUGGGUCAGCGACUUAUUUUCAGUGGCGAGCUUAACCGAAUAGGGGAGGCGUAGCGAAAGCGAGUCUUAAUAGGGCGUCUAGUCGCUGGGAAUAGACCCGAAACCGGGCGAUCUAUCCAUGGGCAGGUUGAAGGUUGGGUAACACUAACUGGAGGACCGAACCGACUACCGUUGAAAAGUUAGCGGAUGACCUGUGGAUCGGAGUGAAAGGCUAAUCAAGCUCGGAGAUAGCUGGUUCUCCUCGAAAGCUAUUUAGGUAGCGCCUCAUGUAUCACUGUAGGGGGUAGAGCACUGUUUCGGCUAGGGGGUCAUCCCGACUUACCAAACCGAUGCAAACUCCGAAUACCUACAAGUGCCGAGCAUGGGAGACACACGGCGGGUGCUAACGUCCGUCGUGAAAAGGGAAACAACCCAGACCGUCAGCUAAGGUCCCAAAGUCAUGGUUAAGUGGGAAACGAUGUGGGAAGGCUUAGACAGCUAGGAGGUUGGCUUAGAAGCAGCCACCCUUUAAAGAAAGCGUAAUAGCUCACUAGUCGAGUCGGCCUGCGCGGAAGAUGUAACGGGGCUCAAACCAUGCACCGAAGCUACGGGUAUCACCUUUGGUGAUGCGGUAGAGGAGCGUUCUGUAAGCCUGUGAAGGUGAGUUGAGAAGCUUGCUGGAGGUAUCAGAAGUGCGAAUGCUGACAUGAGUAACGACAAUGGGUGUGAAAAACACCCACGCCGAAAGACCAAGGUUUCCUGCGCAACGUUAAUCGACGCAGGGUUAGUCGGUCCCUAAGGCGAGGCUGAAAAGCGUAGUCGAUGGAAAACAGGUUAAUAUUCCUGUACUUCUGGUUAUUGCGAUGGAGGGACGGAGAAGGCUAGGCCAGCCUGGCGUUGGUAGUCCAGGUUUAAGGUGGUAGGCUGAGAUCUUAGGUAAAUCCGGGAUCUUAAGGCCGAGAGCUGAUGACGAGUGUUCUUUUAGAACAUGAAGUGGUUGAUGCCAUGCUUCCAAGAAAAGCUUCUAAGCUUCAGGUAACCAGGAACCGUACCCCAAACCGACACAGGUGGUUGGGUAGAGAAUACCAAGGCGCUUGAGAGAACUCGGGUGAAGGAACUAGGCAAAAUGGCACCGUAACUUCGGGAGAAGGUGCGCCGGUGAGGGUGAAGCAUUUACUGCGUAAGCCCACGCCGGUCGAAGAUACCAGGCCGCUGCGACUGUUUAUUAAAAACACAGCACUCUGCAAACACGAAAGUGGACGUAUAGGGUGUGACGCCUGCCCGGUGCCGGAAGGUUAAUUGAUGGGGUUAGCGCAAGCGAAGCUCUUGAUCGAAGCCCCGGUAAACGGCGGCCGUAACUAUAACGGUCCUAAGGUAGCGAUAUUCCUUGUCGGGUAAGUUCCGACCUGCACGAAUGGCGUAACGAUGGCGGCGCUGUCUCCACCCGAGACUCAGUGAAAUUGAAAUCGCUGUGAAGAUGCAGUGUAUCCGCGGCUAGACGGAAAGACCCCGUGAACCUUUACUAUAGCUUUGCACUGGACUUUGAAUUUGCUUGUGUAGGAUAGGUGGGAGGCUUUGAAGCGUGGACGCCAGUCUGCGUGGAGCCAACCUUGAAAUACCACCCUGGCAACUUUGAGGUUCUAACUCAGGUCCGUUAUCCGGAUCGAGGACAGUGUAUGGUGGGUAGUUUGACUGGGGCGGUCUCCUCCUAAAGAGUAACGGAGGAGUACGAAGGUGCGCUCAGACCGGUCGGAAAUCGGUCGUAGAGUAUAAAGGCAAAAGCGCGCUUGACUGCGAGACAGACACGUCGAGCAGGUACGAAAGUAGGUCUUAGUGAUCCGGUGGUUCUGUAUGGAAGGGCCAUCGCUCAACGGAUAAAAGGUACUCCGGGGAUAACAGGCUGAUACCGCCCAAGAGUUCAUAUCGACGGCGGUGUUUGGCACCUCGAUGUCGGCUCAUCACAUCCUGGGGCUGAAGCCGGUCCCAAGGGUAUGGCUGUUCGCCAUUUAAAGUGGUACGCGAGCUGGGUUUAGAACGUCGUGAGACAGUUCGGUCCCUAUCUGCCGUGGACGUUUGAGAUUUGAGAGGGGCUGCUCCUAGUACGAGAGGACCGGAGUGGACGAACCUCUGGUGUUCCGGUUGUCACGCCAGUGGCAUUGCCGGGUAGCUAUGUUCGGAAAAGAUAACCGCUGAAAGCAUCUAAGCGGGAAACUUGCCUCAAGAUGAGAUCUCACUGGAACCUAGAGUUCCCUGAAGGGCCGUCGAAGACUACGACGUUGAUAGGUUGGGUGUGUAAGCGCUGUGAGGCGUUGAGCUAACCAAUACUAAUUGCCCGUGAGGCUUGACCAU
rnacentral:rRNA from 1 species